rnacentral:rRNA from 1 species
CCCUCGGGGCCCAACCUCCCACCCGUGUUGCCCGAACCUAUGUUGCCUCGGCGGGCCCCGCGCCCGCCGACGGCCCCCCUGAACGCUGUCUGAAGUUGCAGUCUGAGACCUAUAACGAAAUUAGUUAAAACUUUCAACAACGGAUCUCUUGGUUCCGGCAUCGAUGAAGAACGCAGCGAAAUGCGAUAACUAAUGUGAAUUGCAGAAUUCAGUGAAUCAUCGAGUCUUUGAACGCACAUUGCGCCCUCUGGUAUUCCGGAGGGCAUGCCUGUCCGAGCGUCAUUGCUGCCCUCAAGCCCGGCUUGUGUGUUGGGCCCCGUCCCCCCCGCCGGGGGGACGGGCCCGAAAGGCAGCGGCGGCACCGCGUCCGGUCCUCGAGCGUAUGGGGCUUCCUCACCCGCUCUAGUAGGCCCGGCCGGCGCCAGCCGACCCCCAACCUUUAAUUAUCUCAGGUUGACCUCGGAUCAGGUACGGAUACCCGCUGAACUUAAGCAUGUCAAUGAGAAGGAGGAA